rnacentral:RNase_P_RNA from 1 species
GAAGCCAACCGGAUGAUCGCGGAGGCAGGGACCGAAAGGUCGCCUCUGAGGAAAGUCCGAGCUCCAUAGGGCAAGGUGCUGGGUAACGCCCAGUGGGGGGAACCCCAAGGAAAGUGCAACAGAGAGAUACCGCCAAAACAGAGGCCAGUCUGACCUCCGGAUUGGUAAGGGUGGAAAGGCGAGGUAAGAGCUCACCGGCAGUCAGGCGACUGGCUGGCCAUGUAAACCCCACUUGGAGCAAGACUGAAUAGGGGAACUAUGAACGGCCCGUUUUCGUUCCCGGGUAAGGUCGCUAGAGGCCGUCGGUAACGACGGUUCGAGACAGAUGAUCAUCACCUCCAUUUGGAGGAACAGAACUCGGCUUAUAGGUUGACUUCGCAC